CAUUGCUUCUAAAACAGGAAUCUACAUACAAGUCCUUGGGAGAUGAUGUUAAAAGUAGGCUCUGAUGUAGUAGGGAGGGAGCGGAAGAGCACUCGUCUG